CCUCCAUAAACCUUUAAUGGGAAACAGCUGGAGGUCCUUCAUCAACCACCUGAUCAGAAACUAACCAGGAUGACGGCCGGAUGUGAACAGCUGAUGUCUAAAUAGGUGCAGGGAUGGAUCUCCGGGGACGAGUGCUGACUACUGUGGUUUGAACAUCCAAGGCUUUGUGAUAAGGAAAUAACUUCCCCGAGCUGACACAUGAUGUCGCCUUUGUUGGUCUCCAGCAAGAAGAUGGUGGAAGUUGGAUGAGUUUCAAUAGUUGGACC